UCCGGUUGAUCCCGCCGGACCUGACUGCUAUCGGAUUGAUACUAAGCCAUGUGAGUCUUUGCAGUAAUGCAAGGCAGACGGCUCAGUAACACGUAGUCAAUCUAACCUAUGGACAGGGAUAAUCUCGGGAAACUGAGCAUAAUACCUGAUAGAUCACCAUGCCUGGAACGGUUGAUGGUUGAAAUGAUUUUUCGCCAUAGGAUGGGACUGCGGCCUAUCAGCUUGUUGGUGAGGUAAUGGCCCACCAAGGCUAUUACAGGUACGGGCUCUGAGAGGAGAAGCCCGGAGAUGGGUACUGAGACACGGACCCAGGUCCUAUGGGGCGCAGCAGGCGAGAAAACUUUGCAAUGUGCGAAAGCACGACAAGGUUAAUCCGAGUGUUUCCUGCUAAAGGAAUCUUUUGUUAGUUGUAAAACCACUAUCGAAUAAGGGGUGGGCAAGUUCUGGUGUCAGCCGCCGCGGUAAAACCAGCACCUCAAGUGGUCAGGAGGUUUAUUGGGCCUAAAGCAUCCGUAGCCUGAUCUAUAAGUUUCCGGUUAAAUCCAAAUGCUCAACAUUUGGGCUGCCGGAAAAACUGUAGAUCUAGGGAGUGGGAGAGGUAGACGGUACUCGGUAGGAAGGGGUAAAAUCCUUUGAUCUAUUGAUGACCACCAGUGGCGAAGGCGGUCUACCAGAACACGUUCGACGGUGAGGGAUGAAAGCUGGGGGAGCAAACCGGAUUAGAUACCCGGGUAGUCCCAGCUGUAAACGAUGCAGACUCGGUGAUGCAUUGGCUUGUGGCCAGUGCAGUGCCGCAGGGAAGCCGUUAAGUUUGCCGCCUGGGAAGUACGUACGCAAGUAUGAAACUUAAAGGAAUUGGCGGGGGAGCACCACAAGGGGUGAAGCCUGCGGUUCAAUUGGAUUCAACGCCGGA
rnacentral:rRNA from 1 species